GAUGAAGAACGCAGUGAAAUGCGAUACGUAAUGUGAAUUGCAGAAUUCAGUGAAUCAUCGAAUCUUUGAACGCACAUUGCGCCCCUUGGUAUUCCAUGGGGCAUGCCUGUUCGAGCGUCAUUUGUACCUUCAAGCUUUGCUUGGUGUUGGGUGUUUGUCUCGCCUCCGCGUGUAGACUCGCCUCAAAACAAUUGGCAGCCGGCGUAUUGAUUUCGGAGCGCAGUACAUCUCGCGCUUUGCACUCACAACGACGACGUCCAAAAGUACAUUUUUACACUCUUGACCUCGGAUCAGGUAGGGAUACCCGCUGAACUUAAGCAUAUCAAUAAGCGGAGGA
rnacentral:misc_RNA from 1 species